rnacentral:misc_RNA from 1 species
GUGAGUCAUCGAAUCUUUGAACGCACAUUGCACUUCCUGGUAUUCCGGGGAGUAUGCCCGUUUCAGAAUCAUUAAAAUCUCAUAAUACUCGUUGUCAUAUUAUUUUUAUAAUAGUAUAUUCAACAAGUUUGUGGAAUUUGGAUGGUUUGUCAUUUGGCAAUCAUCUAAAAUUGAUUGUAUGUGCUCCAAUUGCAUAUAUCUUUUGGGUCUCUAAAGUGCAACAGAUUUUAUCUAUUCUCUUUGGGACUUUAGGAUGUACUUUGUUGUGCAUAUUUGAAGUUACUACACAGAAGUUAUACA